GAUGAACGCUGGCGGCGUGCCUAAUACAUGCAAGUCGAGCGAAUGGAUUAAGAGCUUGCUCUUAUGAAGUUAGCGGCGGACGGGUGAGUAACACGUGGGUAACCUGCCCAUAAGACUGGGAUAACUCCGGGAAACCGGGGCUAAUACCGGAUAACAUUUUGAACCGCAUGGUUCGAAAUUGAAAGGCGGCUUCGGCUGUCACUUAUGGAUGGACCCGCGUCGCAUUAGCUAAUUGGUGAGGUAACGGCUCACCAAGGCAACGAUGCGUAGCCGACCUGAGAGGGCGAUCGGCCACACUGGGACUGGGACACGGCCCAGACUCCUACGGGAGGCAGCAGUAGGGAAUCUUCCGCAAUGGACGAAAGUCUGACGGAGCAACGCCGCGUGAGUGAUGAAGGCUAUCGGGUCGUAAAAUUCUGUUGUUAGGGAAGAACAAGUGCUAGUUGAAUAAGCUGGCACCUUGACGGUACCUAACCAGAAAGCCACGGCUAACUACGUGCCAGCCGCCGCGGUAA
rnacentral:rRNA from 1 species